rnacentral:rRNA from 1 species
UACGGAGGGAGCUAGCGUUAUUCGGAAUUACUGGGCGUAAAGCGCACGUAGGCGGCUUGUAAGUUAGAGGUGAAAGCCUGGAGCUCAACUCCAGAAUUGCCUUUAAGACUGCAUCGCUUGAAUCCAGGAGAGGUGAGUGGAAUUCCGAGUGUAGAGGUGAAAUUCGUAGAUAUUCGCAAGAACACCAGUGGCGGAAGGCGGCUCACUGGCCCGGUACUGACGCUGAGGUGGCGAAAAGCGUGGGGAGCAAACAGG